rnacentral:misc_RNA from 1 species
ACGUCUCUUGAUUUCCAAUCUGAAAAUCAAAAAACAAAAAACAAGAUUGGCCAAGUAACCUUUCACUAGGGCUACAACCGGCAAGAAACAUUAUGCUUCCAGAGGGAAGACAGACAGAAUAGGUAUAACUCUCAAGGGUCCAAGUUAUUGUGCACAUGUCUUCGCCUUCGUGGUAAAGAAUAAUCCUCAGACCACCACCCAGGUGCCAGCUCUAGCCCUUUCUCUCCUCCCCUACCCAUUUGCAGGUAUUG